rnacentral:lncRNA from 1 species
UUCCUUUAGGUUGGAUUGGAAGGGUUUUUACUCUCUUUUGAAGCUUGAGAAGGGAUUUCUACACAAGAGGUGAGUUUUGCCCUUUUCUUGAAUCGGUUAAAGAUUGAGCUUAGUAUUGUUCGUAAGGUUCGUUUGACUCUUGUUCCUACAUCUUUAGGGUGCUAAGAGACUAGUGGACACCUCCGUUCGGCGAAACGAAGAGUUUCGUUUUUCGGUGGGUUUGACUUCAUGAAAACGGGGCAAAAUGGCCCCUAUACUUCCUAUACUUAUCAUAAAGUCUUUUUGAAUGCAAAUCCAUACUAGAUAGGAUUUAUGUGAAUUUUAGAACACUUAAAAUGCAUGUGCUAUGUGUAAAAUAAAUUUCACUCUAUAUAGUAGAGCAUACUGGGUAAUUUUCAUGCAUGUGAGAAGUGUUCGAGAUAGCAAUGGGAAUCAUGUCUCUUAUGUUAAGUUAACUCAUAAUGGUGUAAUUGCAAACACUACACUAUGAUUGGACUUAGUGAAUAAAGUGUCAUAAAGGGGCACUUAACUUAGUAACUAUGAAACUGCUAUAAUGAGACAUAGUGAUAGGCCUUUGAUAUCUAUUACUUUCAUGUUUUAGACAUGAUGACUUAGAGAUAGGCCAUUGAGAUAUGUGACAUAUUACAUGUUAUUAGACAUGAGGACUUGGUACUUGAGACGGAUCUUACGUUGCUUGCCAUUGUGCUCAUUCGCACAUGCUUGUGAGGGUCGCUCCCUACAAGCCGGCACUCUGGAGAUGGCCAUCGCGAUACAUAUUCGCCGUGCGGGAUUGGACGCCGAAAUGGAUUGCCGUGGGAAAGGCUCAUUCCUAGAGUGGGGAUGUUGACUACCACGGGGCCAUUAGGCUCGGCAUCGGCCAGACAGCCUACGGGUGGGUCUCAAGCCAAACAGCCUUCGGGCGGGUCUCUUCAGAUUUGACUUUGAGCAUUCAUCAUGACAUGUGGACAUUGACUAGAAUAGUAAAUUGGACAUUUUACUAUCACAUUGUGGACAUUAUGUUGGUUGCAUAUUCGCUCGUAUUCUUGGUAGAAUAGCUUUCUUACUUAUGCUAAAUCAUGCUAAGUAGAGAUACCUUGUGAUAGCAAGUAUUCAUGUUUAUUUACCUGUUGUACAUAUUGCUCUUACUCCUACUUGUUGACUGACCCCUUUUUGUAGCCUCUGGGCCUAGUGGCGCAUUUCACUGAAGUCAGUAAUUGCCCACUGGGAACUAUUAUUUAAUAGUUCUCACGCCCCUAUUUCUAUAUUUCCUUUUCAGAGCCUUCGGCACCGGCGAAGGCACGGGAUUGCGGCAAGGGUGUCGCCUAACUUGAUAGAUAGCGAAGCUCGCUUUAGCUCCUAGGUGGUUACUCUCUUUUUGUGUUUUUGUGUGAGGGAGGUUUUGUACCAUGUAUAGAGACCACCUAUGUACCUUGUUUAGCUCUUGUAUUUGGGACUCCUAUUGUAUUACUUUAUAUUUUUACAUAGUGGAUUUAGCCUUAUGUUCUUUUCCCUUAUUGUAGCUUAUAGAUAUACUUUGCUCUGAUACUUCUAGAUAUUCUCCUUUUGUUGCUUUAUUUAUUGCUUCGUUAUUUCUUUUAUCGUUUUGUCCUAAACGCCUUGUAUGUUUUAGACAUACGGUGGGUCUGGGCACGCGCCGGGCGGGCUUCCGCUGGGCCCCGAGGCCUGACACACAGUCUGUUUAUACUUAUAGUGGUCGCACCACACAAGUCGUCAUGCACUCCGGAGUUUAGCGCGAGAGAAGCAGAGUUGAUGUCCUGCAGACGGUCCCGAGUUUGAGAGCGAGGUGAGUCUCCUUACGAUACGGGAUAGCGAGGUGAGUCGUAGGCGACCCGAGGGAUCGCCAAGAAUUGGAUAAACAAGUGAAUAGCACCGUCAUUGAACAUUUGCUUAUUGGACAUGGUUAGUGGACAUAGAUGCAUGUUAGUAAACUACAUACUAUAUGAUGCAUGCAUACAUUACUUGUGAUUGGGCAUAGUAGCGUAGUUUUCCUAUUAUGUCGUUUACUGCUUUCGUUAUCUAUCUAUCUAUCUGUCACGCCCCGGGACCCAGCGGAGGCCCGCCGGGCGCGUGUCCAGACCCGCCAUAUGUCUACAACAUAUAAGGCGUCUAACAACAACAACAAUAAUAAAAGCAAUAAUAAAAGGCAUCUAGGAGUAUCAGAGCAUAAUAAAUGUCUAAAUGCUACAUCAAGAAAUAAGGAUAAAACUGUAAAUUCGCUAAAUAAGACAUAAAGUAAAUACAAUAGGAAAUCCCAAAUACAAGUGCUAUAGGUAGGUACAUAGGUGGCCUCUAUACACGGAUACAAAAAUCUCACACUCUCUCAAAAAAAAACAAAAGAAAGAGUAACCACCUAGGCAAAGUAUCACUCCUCGCUAGCUAGCUAAGCGAUCCCCUUGCCGCGAUCCCGUGCCUCCGCCGGUGCCGAAGGCUCUGAAAAGUAAACAUAGAAACAGGGGCAUGAGAACUAUUAAGAAUAGUUCCCAGUGGGCAAUUACUGACUUCAGUGAAUGCACCACGAGGCCCAAAGCUACAAUAGAUGUCAGUGACCAUAACUGUAGGAAAAUGAAAGGCAAGUAAAAAUGUAACUUACUACACGUGAUAUCUCCACUUAGCAUAAAUAGCAUAAGUAUGAAACAACUAUGCAUGAAGUAAAAGUCUCCAACUAUCAUAAUGUUCACAAUGCGAAAUAGUAAAGUUCCGUUGUUUACUAUUCUAGUCAAUGUCCAAAUAAUACUCUAAGUCAUCAUCUGUCCACAUGUCAUGAUGAAUACUCAAGUCAAAUCUGAAGAGACCCACCCGAAGGCUGUCUAUGGCCCUGAGACCCACCCGUAGGCUGUCUGGCCGGUGCCGAGCCUAAUGGCCCCGUG